rnacentral:rRNA from 1 species
GAUGAACGCUGGCGGCGUGCCUAAUACAUGCAAGUCGAGCGAACGGACGAGAAGCUUGCUUCUCUGAUGUUAGCGGCGGACGGGUGAGUAACACGUGGAUAACCUACCUAUAAGACUGGGAUAACUUCGGGAAACCGGAGCUAAUACCGGAUAAUAUUUUGAACCGCAUGGUUCAAAAGUGAAAGACGGUCUUGCUGUCACUUAUAGAUGGAUCCGCGCUGCAUUAGCUAAUUGGUAAGGUAACGGCUUACCAAGGCAACGAUGCAUAGCCGACCUGAGAGGGUGAUCGGCCACACUGGAACUGAGACACGGUCCAGACUCCUACGGGAGGCAGCAGUAGGGAAUCUUCCGCAAUGGGCGAAAGCCUGACGGAGCAACGCCGCGUGAGUGAUGAAGGUCUUCGGAUCGUAAAACUCUGUUAUUAGGGAAGAACAUAUGUGUAAGUAACUGUGCACAUCUUGACGGUACCUAAUCAGAAAGUCACGGCUAACUACGUG